GGGAGACUUAAUCUUCCUUGAUCCAAAUCUAAUUCAUCUUGACCAUUUGAUCAAGUGAAUGGCUUUGCAUUAAGGAUAGGUUGUUUCCUAAAUCAUGCAAAGGACUUAAACCAAUACAAGAUCAAUUCUCUUUUUCUUUUUUUGGCAUGGCAAGUUGUUGGAACUUGGUUCACUAAUCAAGACUUCUAACUUGUGUUGUUGCCUACAUUAUU
rnacentral:lncRNA from 1 species